rnacentral:rRNA from 1 species
AUUGAACGUUGGCGGCAGGCCUAAUACAUGCAAGUCGAACGAGAAAGCACUUCGGUGUGAGUACAGUGGCGGACGGGUGAGUAACGCGUAGGAAUCUACCUCUAGUGGGGGACAACUCGGGGAAACUCGAGCUAAUACCGCAUAAUAUCUAUGGAUCAAAGUGGGGGAUCUUUAAGACCUCACGCCAAGAGAGGAGCCUGCGUUGGAUUAGCUUGUUGGUGGGGUAAUGGCCUACCAAGGCGACGAUCUAUAGCUGGUCUGAGAGGACGAUCAGCCACACUGGAACUGAGACACGGUCCAGACUCCUACGGGAGGCAGCAGUAGGGAAUCUUGGGCAAUGGGCGCAAGCCUGACCCAGCCAUGCCGCGUGUGCGAAGAAGGCCCUAGGGUUGUAAAGCACUUUCAGUCGCGAAGAAAAGCUUGAAGUUAAUACCUUCGAGUCUUGACGUUAACGACAGAAGAAGUACCGGCUAACUCCGUG